rnacentral:rRNA from 1 species
AUACGUAGGUGGCAAGCGUUGUCCGGAAUUACUGGGCGUAAAGGAUGCGUAGGCGGAUAUGUAAGUCAGAUGUGAAAUACCCGGGCUCAACUUGGGUGCUGCAUUUGAAACUACAUGUCUAGAGUGCGGGAGAGGAAAGUGGAAUUCCUAGUGUAGCGGUGAAAUGCGUAGAUAUUAGGAGGAACACCAGUGGCGAAGGCGGCUUUCUGGACUGUAACUGACACUGAGGCACGAAAGCGUGGGGAGC